rnacentral:rRNA from 1 species
GGUGAGUGCUUGCAGAACCGGAGUCAAUUGAGAUGACUUAGUGGCGGACGGGUGAGUAACGCGUGGGUAACUGCCUCACACAGGGGGAUAACAGUUAGAAAUGACUGCUAAUACCGCAUAAGCGCACAGUGCCGCAUGGUACGGUGUGAAAAGCUUUCGCGGUGUGAGAUGGACCCGCGUCUGAUUAGCCAGUUGGCAGGGUAACGGCCUACCAAAGUGACGAUCAGUAGCCGGCCUGAGAGGGUGAACGGCCACAUUGGGACUGAGACACGGCCCAAACUCCUACGGGAGGCAGCAGUGGGGAAUAUUGGGCAAUGGGGGAAACCCUGACCCAGCAACGCCGCGUGAGGGAAGAAGGUUUUCGGAUCGUAAACCUCUGUCCUUGGUGAAGAGGAAGAGACGGUAGCCAAGGAGGAAGCCCCGGCUAACUACGUGCCAGCAGCCGCGGUAAUACGUAGGGGGCAAGCUUUGUCCGGAAUGAUUGGGCGUAAAGGGCGCGUAGGCGGCCCGGUAAGUCUGAAGUGAAAGUCCUGGUUUUAAGCUGGGAAUUGCUUUGGAUACUGUCGGGCUUGAGUGCAGGAGAGGUAAGUUGAAUUCCCAGUGUAGCGGUGAAAUGCGUAGAGAUUGGUAGGAACACCAGUUGCGAAGGCGACUUACUGGACUGUAACUUACGCUGAGGCGCGAAAGUGUGGGGAGCAAACAGGAUUAGAUACCCUGGUAGUCCACACUGUAAACGAUGAAUGCUAGGUGUAGGGGGUAUCGACCCCUUCUGUGCCGCAGUAAACACAAUAAGCAUUCCGCCUGGGGAGUACGGCCGCAAGGUUGAAACUCAAAGGAAUUGACGGGGGCCCGCACAAGCAGCGGAGCAUGUGGUUUAAUUCGACGCAACGCGAAGAACCUUACCAGGUCUUGACAUCCAGUAAAAGCAGUAGAGAUACUGUGUGUGCUUGCACAUACUGAGACAGGUGGUGCAUGGUUGUCGUCAGCUCGUGUCGUGAGAUGUUGGGUUAAGUCCCGCAACGAGCGCAACCCUUGUUCUUAGUAGCCAGCACAUAAUGGUGGGCACUCUAGGAAGACUGCCGGUGAUAAAUCGGAGGAAGGUGGGGACGACGUCAAAUCAUCAUGCCCUUUAUGUCCUGGGCUACACACGUACUACAAUGGUCGCUACAGAGGGAAGCAAGAUAGUGAUAUGGAGCAAAACCCUAAAAACGAUCUCAGUUCGGAUUGAAGUCUGAAAUUCGACUUCAUGAAGCUGGAAUUGCUAGUAAUGGCAGGUCAGCAUACUGCCGUGAAUACGUUCCCGGGCCUUGUACACACCGCCCGUCACACCAUGAGAGUUGGGAAUACCCGAAGCCUGUGAACUAACUUUUAGAGGCAGCAGUCGAAGGUAGAAUCAAUGAUUGGGGUGAA